rnacentral:rRNA from 2 species
CCAAUAGCGUAUAUUAAAGUUGUUGCAGUUAAAAAGCUCGUAGUUGAAUUUCGGGAUUGACACAUCGGUCGUGCCUUAAGGGGUAUGAACUGGUGUAGUCAAUUUCUCACCUUCUGGAGAACCGCGAUGCCCUUAAUUGGGUGUCGCGGGGAACCAGGACCUUUACUUUGAAAAAAUUAGAGUGUUUAAAGCAGGCAUUU